AUAAAAAUGAAGUUCAACUUGUCUUAAUAUAUUCUAUCAGGCAAAAGAAACAAAUUCCCCAGGGAGGGGUAGUCCAGCUGCUGCCACUCCUGGAGUGAGCCUGUGGACAGUCUCUCCAGCCAGAGGCCACCGGAGGAACUUCGGGAGGGCAGGAGGCUCCUUCUGCAGCACCACGUCGUUUCUUCCCCAGGCUUGCUUUUUCUGUUUGAUGUGCUGGUGGACGGACAGCCAUGUGACCGCGAGGCUGCGGCGGCCUGCCAGGUGGGCGACCCUGUGCGCCUGGAGGUGCGGCUGACCAACCGGAGCCCGCGCAGCGUAGGGCCCUUCGCCCUCACCGUGGUCCCCUUCCAGGACCACCAGAAUGGCGUGCACAACUACGACCUGCACGACACCAUCUCCUUCGUGGGCUCCAGCACCUUCUACCUCGACGCAGUGCAGCCGUCCGGCCAGUCGGCCUGCCUCGGGGCCCUCCUCUUCCUCUACACGGGAGACUUCUUCCUCCACAUCCGGUUCCACGAGGACAGCACCAGCAAGGAGCUGCCACCCUCUUGGUUCUGCCUGCCCAGCGUGCACGUGCGCGCCCUGGAGGCGCAGGCCUGAGCCCGCCCACUUCCGUCCCUCUUUCUGCAGGGCCAGAGGUGACCCUGCCUGGCCUCUUACACCCC
rnacentral:sRNA from 1 species